GAUGAAGAACGCAGCGAAAUGCGAUAAGUAAUGUGAAUUGCAGAAUUCAGUGAAUCAUCGAAUCUUUGAACGCACAUUGCGCCCGCCAGUAUUCUGGCGGACAUGCCUGUCUGAGCGUCAUUUCAACCCUCAUGCCCCUAGGGCGUGGUGUUGGGGAUCGGCCAAAGCCCGCGAGGGACGGCCGGCCCCUAAAUCUAGUGGCGGACCCGUCGUGGCCUCCUCUGCGAAGUAGUGAUAUUCCGCAUCGGAGAGCGACGAGCCCCUGCCGUUAAACCCCCAACUUUCCAAGGUUGACCUCAGAUCAGGUAGGAAUACCCGCUGAACUUAAGCAUAUCAAUAAGCGGAGGA
rnacentral:misc_RNA from 1 species